rnacentral:rRNA from 1 species
UGCAGUCGAGCGGAAGGCCCUUCGGGGUACUCGAGCGGCGAACGGGUGAGUAACACGUGAGCAACCUGCCCUAGGCUUUGGGAUAACCCCGGGAAACCGGGGCUAAUACCGAAUAGAACCUGACUCCGCAUGGGGUUGGGUGGAAAGUUUUUCGGCCUGGGAUGGGCUCGCGGCCUAUCAGCUUGUUGGUGGGGUGAUGGCCUACCAAGGCGACGACGGGUAGCCGGCCUGAGAGGGCGACCGGCCACACUGGGACUGAGACACGGCCCAGACUCCUACGGGAGGCAGCAGUGGGGAAUAUUGCACAAUGGGCGGAAGCCUGAUGCAGCGACGCCGCGUGAGGGAUGACGGCCUUCGGGUUGUAAACCUCUUUCAGCAGGGACGAAGCGUAAGUGACGGUACCUGCAGAAGAAGCACCGGCCAACUACGUGCCAGCAGCCGCGGUAAGACGUAGGGCGCGAGCGUUGUCCGGAUUUAUUGGGCGUAAAGAGCUCGUAGGCGGCUUGUCGCGUCGACUGUGAAAACCCGCAGCUCAACUGCGGGCCUGCAGUCGAUACGGGCAGGCUAGAGUUCGGUAGGGGAGACUGGAAUUCCUGGUGUAGCGGUGAAAUGCGCAGAUAUCAGGAGGAACACCGGUGGCGAAGGCGGGUCUCUGGGCCGAUACUGACGCUG